GCUACGGGGGGCAGCAGUGAGGAAUAUUGGUCAAUGGGCGCGAGCCUGAACCAGCCAAGUAGCGUGAAGGAUGACUGCCCUACGGGUUGUACACUUCUUUUAUAAAGGAAUAAAGUGAGGUACGUGUGUCUUGUUGUAUGUACUUUAUGAAUCAGGAUCGGCUAACUCCGUGCCAGCAGCCGCGGUAAUACGGAGGAUUCGAGCGUUAUCCGGAUUUAUUGGGUUUAAAGGGGGCGUAGAGGGUUGGUUAAGUCCGAAGUGAAAGUUUGGGGCUCAACCGUUGAAUUGCAUUUGAUACUGGCAGGCUGGAGUGCAGUUGAGGUAGGCGGAAUUCAGGGUGUAGCGGUGAAAUGCGUAGAUAUCACGAAGAACACCGAUUGCGAAGGCAGCUUACUGAACUGCAACUGACGUUGAGGCUCGAAAGUGUGGGUAUCAAACAGGAUUAGAUACCCUUGUAGUC
rnacentral:rRNA from 1 species